UCAGCGGUCAGCGUUUGAAGUUCAGCCUCAGACAGUUCACAAAGCUCGGUGUACUAAUAUAGUCACGCGCAAAGAGCCUCGCUGAUUCCCAGAAAUGGCCUGCAUGUGUGGGGAAAAAACAAGAACAUACGAAAACGAACUUUUAACUGUUCGCGAUCUCCAGUCUCGCCGCACCCAUCAGCCUCGGCGUUUCUCGAAGCAAACAGCUGGAAUUCAAUGUCACACCUGCUUUCAAUCAGGUUCCGUGCUAGAGUAACUAGGAUGUUUUCCUGGAAAAAAAAAAUAGCGAGCGAGCAACACUUCGGGGUAAAGACGCAGUUUCGCGCUGUUUUGAAUAAGCCCUGGUAAUUCUCAACACAUUUGAGAGAGCAAAAGCCCUGGCGUGGGCUGUCACUGACGUGUGCCAGGACGGGAAAUACACCGGCAUCCCAGCGACUCCGGCCAUCUUGUUGACUUAAAAUCCAGAGCAAACAUCUUUUAAAUGUGUUUUUCGAGCUUCUAUUCUGUCAGAAGUUUAUCGCUGCUAGGCUCAACGAACGCCACACUUCAACAGUUGAUGGGUUUCGUUGGAUCCGUUCGUGUCAACCUUGCUGGUGUUUGCUGAGAAACAUGCCCGGAGACAGGAGAGCCAAUCGGAGAGAGCGAGGGAGGGGCCUCUGCACCAUAUGUCGAACCAGGCUGGUUUCCUGAACAACCACACAGCGCUAGUCCGGAUGUUUCGUGUCACACAGUGCUCUCUGUGUGCUAGGCCAGCUGUGCCCUUUCCUGCCCUUUUGGCUUCUCCCCUUGUUUUGCGUUAAAGGUGACCCAUAAUUCCCAUGAGUUCGGCCCUGCUCGGGUUAUUCCUCCAGAAGUCGUCAGCUGUGAGAAUACACUAACCCACAGCAGAACGACCUCUCGAGCCUCCGCUGCUGUUAGUCAGCCAAAUGUUAAGUCACUGCACACCAGCGCACAAACAAACAACAGCAUGGCUGCAACACUUUUGGUAGCAGCUGGAAUUUGGUAGAUUAUGCUUUACGGUAAGACUUGACCCUAAGUUCCCGGUGUUUAGGCUUGUAAAGCAUGGCACAAUAGGGCUUUUAUACCACUUGGAUUCUUGGCUUUCUUUUGUUUGGCACAGACUGCAUGCUUCUUUUAUUUUUUUUGCAGUUUGGCACCAGUGACCUCUCUCCACCUGCUUCUUGCUCUAAACCAGCCUGUCAGGUUAGUCUGGUUAUUAAGCCAAAGAAAAGAGCUCCGAGCGACUCACCGCUAGUUGUCUCUUCGUACUCAUACAGGUGGCAAAAAUAGCAGGUCAGAACUAACAUACAGACAGCAGUCCAAAAACAAUACUGGAAAGAACGUCAGACUAGUCAAAGGACAGUUAAUUUUCAAUUAAAAUAUCCCAAUAAAGCAUGGACCUAUGAAUCUGUGUAGAACUGUGUAGAAAAUUUAAAUUCAUAGUAUUUUUCUCCCACACAUACACAUAUGGGAUGGCACUAAGGUGACUUAAUAAUGAGAGUAUUUUGAUUUCGGAAAAAGGAUCAUUCAGUGAUGCACUUGCAACAAAAUUUUAUUUAAUAACGAAAUGUCAGUUACUGAAGUUUUCAGAUGUUUCUACUCUAAUUUGGUACCUUACAAAUAAACAUUGAGCAAUGGCUUUUUAAUGACAGAUUUAUUCAAACAUAAUAUAACGAGUAUUUAAAAUAUAUAAAAAUAUAAUGAAUAAUAAAAAAAAUAACGAAUAUUUUACGUACGUUGUUUUUUUCUUUUAGCAUACCUUCUGAUGUUCAUUUAUGUUUACUUUGUGCUGUAACUAGUAGUAAAGACGAAAAGACGAUUGGUUUACGAGCUGCUUGAACUCGUCAUCAGAGAAUAAACGUCACUGAUUUCGGCCAAAACCAAAAAUCCUUUCAUACCAGAAAUAAUAGGCAUUGGAGGCAACAAAAUACCAAGCGCAAAUUCAGUUAAGGAAUUAUAGGGAAACUCCAAAGAUGUGUGUCACCAGUGAUGCAACAGUGGUGUAAUCGGAUUAAUUUGGGGAAUGAGGAAAACCCCAUAAACCUCACAACCAUCCAUGUGAGCAGGUUUACGUGAGAUCGAAGGGAAUCACAUGAUCACGGACGUUCGGGAGCAAGAACAAGCAUCUGAGCCGUUUUGUUGGACUGCAUGUUUUUAGUCAGCAUACGAUCUUCUUGUGCAUUUCCCUUUAGAUCGGCCCCACAGUUUCUGCACGGACAGAACGUAGCCUUGUUUUUUUGUAAGAUGAGACCCUCUUUCAAGGUAGGGAGACCAUCAAAACAUUCCUUCAUCUCAAAAACAUCGUGAUUUCUUUCACAGGUGACAGAUUCAUGUCUCGCGGGAAGAAAACGAACAAAACCAUUCCCUUGAUUUCUGAAUCGGAUGGCAAACCUCGGGAAAUGCUGUGAGAAGGAUCAGCUAUGUUUGGCUAGUUCUUCAAAAUCAGAUCCUUACUCUAGCUCUAAUUCUAUGUUAAAACAAAUCAGGCAACUUUUGAUGUACAGUAAGGAGUAUUUUAAUGUAAUUACUGAGCCGGUGACAACAUGAGUUCAACUGGAAUCAAAUUCAUAAACAACAAAAACCAGGGUAAUGUGAGAUCUCACUCGGAGCAGGACCUGCCAGAAAUCACGUCUUCAGCCGUAGGAAGAGAUGUUCUUUAUUAUUAUGUGACCUCCCUGCCCACGCUUUGUGUAACAGGGCCGGCUGUAAGUGAAAGAGGUGUAGUCUUGUUUUGGUUAUCUGGUAGUUAAAGAUGCAGGCGUGCUAUUUGACCUACAUAGACGGCCAAACAGAGGUCUGUAAAAUCUCAUUGUACGGCCAGGACAGGGGUGAUAACUUGUUUACAAAGCGCUCUGAAAAAAGGGCAAGAGUGUUUUCAGUGCUCGAAACUACAUGCGAGAGUUUCAGAGAGAAAAAUGAUCCUUGCUUUUUAGUGUUUUAAUUUAAAAGCAAGGAAUAUUUUUUAUGAAGGUGACACUGAGACUGAAACUUUUUUUAAUUCCAUUGUUCUAGUUAAAAAGUGGCCACAUUAUACUAAUUUGCUCAUGAUGUAGCUUUUAUGUACAGAUUUUAAUAUUUUACCCUUAUCCCAAAAAUGUACUUUAAAUCUAUAUAUCUAUCUAUCUAUAAUUGUAUUAUUAUUAUUGUUAUUAUUUGUGUGUGAAAUGAAUUGGAACAAAUAAAAACAAAAAAAAAAAUUGAAAAUAUUAUUUUAGCAUUUGGACAAAAUGCUAUUAGCCUUAACAAACCUUAAGGAGUUCAUUUUCGGCAUGUAGUGGCAGAAUUACAUG